CUGACCAGGGUAUUGUUUCUCGGGUUACCAUAGGGUUAGACUUUUUGUUCCCGAUCCUUCCGCUCACUUUAUCAUCCUGGUUUCCACUCCACCACUUUAUCCUCCAUUCUUCUUCAUCCUCUCAUAUUCUUUUCAUUCACGUUUACUCCACCGCCAUACUAUCUGCCUCUUCUUAUCCAGUUUCUUCCGUAGGUUAUUCCGUAACAGUUCAUCGCCACAGCCAUCCAAUCCGGUCCAGCAGGGUUACCGCUCGCUUUGAUCAUGUUAUCAUUUCCACCAACUUCGAUCACCCUUCCGUCUUCGGUCUUCGUCUCCAUCACAACCGGCUUAGGUCCGAACUCCAAGUUCGAUCAGUUUCGUUUAUGGCUUAGCCUCCAUCUCUCCAAACACAGAAACUUAGCAUACAUGGCGGUUGGGGGGUUUAUAUCUCCUAGCAUUGGUAAACUCACUAGACUACAGAGACUGGCACUUCACCAAAUUUCAUAAUUUCGUUUAGGUGUUUGAUGAAACGCCCGACUCAACCAACUCUCUAAAAUGAAGUUCUUUUAAUAGACGAGGGAGGUAUUUGAGGAUUGAAUCAUUUCUACAAAAGAUGACAUUUGGGGAACAAAACACAUAGAAGGAGAUUCAUCGUAACUUUGUAAGACUUAAUUUUCUUGGUUAGCUCCAUCUUAUGGUAAUUUUACCUUCUUUUCUUUUCCAUAUUAAACUUAGUGGUAAUCGAUGUUUCCUUAAGUUGUGUGUUUUUUUGUCCGUGGACAAUAAUUUUGGGACGGAGUGAGUAUUAUAUAAAAUCUUUAAUGCUUAAGACUUUUAUCUGAUUGAAUGUAGUAGGCUUAAUUAUUUUGAUGUUCUUGGUGAUGAGUUUUAAUGGUGGGUUGAUCCUGUUGGUGCUAUACUUCUUGCUGUCUACAGACUUAGCAAUUGGUCUCGAACUGUCAUAGAAAAUGCAGAUAACCAAAUGUCGAAAAUGUCCUUCAAUACUGAUGAAACAUGGGAAUCAAUCACCAAAUCGCAUAUAAAUUACAUUCUCUUUCAGAUCAAGGCUCUUUUUCAUUUUUCCGAUUGCUAGAUGAAGUAUUAUUGCCUAUAUUCUCUGGUAUGUUUACACUUACCAUAUGUAGUGCAAAUCCCUAGAGUCCCUGUCACACAAACUAUGUUGUGCACUCUGAAUACGUGCAAUUCAGCAACAAUCUGGUCCAAUUAGUUUUCAGUACUUUGUAUUUUUGAUGAAUAUUUUUAUUUAUCACUUUUCCAUUUGACCACAUAAAUACUUUCAUAAAAUAGAAUCUUGACUUGUCUUUUCUUAAGUUUUAUAAGGGUAAUAGUAUUUUGGUUGAUUCCGGGAUAGAGCAACUGUAGUUUAUUGCACAAUCUCAAAGAACCGGAGAUCCAAAGUUUCAACAAAAGGUACCUCCUCAGCUAGGGGAAAGGAGCCAGCGCGGUAGCAGCAUGUCACACACACUCUCUUGUUUCCGCAGUUAUGAGUUUAUUCUGGGAUUGAUACUCUGAUAGUUUGGUUGAUCAAAUGUUGUGGAUUUCAAUUUGGUUUUCGAUGUGAAAUGGUUUAAUUAAACAAUGUUUUAA